rnacentral:rRNA from 1 species
GAUGAACGCUGCGGCGUGCCUAAUACAUGCCAGUCGAGCGAACAGACGAGGAGCUUGCUCCUCUGACGUUAGCGGCGGACGGGUGAGUAACACGUGGAUAACCUACCUAUAAGACUGGGAUAACUUCGGGAAACCGGAGCUAAUACCGGAUAAUAUAUUGAACCGCAUGGUUCAAUAGUGAAAGACGGUUUUGCUGUCACUUAUAGAUGGAUCCGCGCCGCAUUAGCUAGUUGGUAAGGUAACGGCUUACCAAGGCGACGAUGCGUAGCCGACCUGAGAGGGUGAUCGGCCACACUGGAACUGAGACACGGUCCAGACUCCUACGGGAGGCAGCAGUAGGGAAUCUUCCGCAAUGGGCGAAAGCCUGACGGAGCAACGCCGCGUGAGUGAUGAAGGUCUUCGGAUCGUAAAACUCUGUUAUUAGGGAAGAACAAAUGUGUAAGUAACUAUGCACGUCUUGACGGUACCUAAUCAGAAAGCCACGGCUAACUACGUGC